GGUGAAAAGCACCCCGGAAGGGGAGUGAAAUAGAACCUGAAACCGUGUGCUUACAAGUAGUCAGAGCCCGUUAAUGGGUGAUGGCGUGCCUUUUGUAGAAUGAACCGGCGAGUUACGAUUUGAUGCAAGGUUAAGCAGUAAAUGUGGAGCCGUAGCGAAAGCGAGUCUGAAUAGGGCGUUUAGUAUUUGGUCGUAGACCCGAAACCAGGUGAUCUACCCUUGGUCAGGUUGAAGUUCAGGUAACACUGAAUGGAGGACCGAACCGACUUACGUUGAAAAGUGAGCGGAUGAACUGAGGGUAGCGGAGAAAUUCCAAUCGAACCUGGAGAUAGCUGGUUCUCUCCGAAAUAGCUUUAGGGCUAGCCUCAAGUGAUGAUUAUUGGAGGUAGAGCACUGUUUGGACGAGGGGCCCCUCUCGGGUUACCGAAUUCAGACAAACUCCGAAUGCCAAUUAAUUUAACUUGGGAGUCAGAACAUGGGUGAUAAGGUCCGUGUUCGAAAGGGAAACAGCCCAGACCACCAGCUAAGGUCCCAAAAUAUAUGUUAAGUGGAAAAGGAUGUGGCGUUGCCCAGACAACUAGGAUGUUGGCUUAGAAGCAGCCAUCAUUUAAAGAGUGCGUAAUAGCUCACUAGUCGAGUGACACUGCGCCG
rnacentral:rRNA from 1 species